rnacentral:rRNA from 1 species
UACGAAGGGGGCUAGCGUUGCUCGGAAUCACUGGGCGUAAAGGGUGCGUAGGCGGGUCUUUAAGUCAGGGGUGAAAUCCUGGAGCUCAACUCCAGAACUGCCUUUGAUACUGAGGAUCUUGAGUUCGGGAGAGGUGAGUGGAACUGCGAGUGUAGAGGUGAAAUUCGUAGAUAUUCGCAAGAACACCAGUGGCGAAGGCGACUCACUG